GGCAGUCAGCUCCUCAUUCAGGCUGAAAUGUACCUGAGAAACACAGCUGAGUCAGGACCCUGCUGACUAGUCAUAUCAGCAACCAACUCUUUGAUUCAUCAGGUGGAUGAGAAGACAGAAAAAGACUAGCACCACCAUGUGGAUCAACAGAAAGCCUGCACCCUUCUACACUCUGCAGUCCAGUUGGUCCAGCAGCAGAACCCGUCUCUUCACUAACAUGUUGACAAUGAUCUCCACUCAGUGUCUGACACUAUGAUCUGUGAACCUCUUAUUACACAUUUUUACUAUCACUUAAAUUAAUGUGUCUCAUAACCUCUA